rnacentral:lncRNA from 1 species
GUCCUUUAUAAAAUAUUUGGCUUUUCUAAAAAUUCAGGUAAAUUAGUUACAAACUCGAAAGAAAUCAAAUAAAUGAAGGAAAUUUUUUCAAUUCAAUACAUCCAUUCACAAACCCAAACAGAGUGCAUAUUUCUCCAUCUUCUGUUCAUGUAUCAAGCAAAGAUAAAUCAAAAUUUCUAUCAAUUGACCAAAUGUUAGAUAUAGCUAAACAGCUCCGAAUUAAACAAAGUCAUAAAUCUAGAAAUAUUCAACUUUUCAGUAGCUAACUGACACCACGGAGUAUGUAUAUAUAUAUUCGAACCUGAUUAGAGAGACUCAAGAGAAAUUGGCGCUUUGGAUCCAUGAAGCUUCUCCGGACAGGCAGAAGAGAGAGACAUCAGCUUCGUAGAGUUCAGCGGAAAUUCGAGAAUUCCAGGCUGAUGAACCAAGUAAAAGAGUAAAACGGCUGAAUUGGAGGCAAGAGUAACGGAGGCGUCAUUUCAGCAUUAAGGUGGAGGGAUUUCCGUAAUGUUAUUGGGGAAAGAGGCGAUAUAGGGAAGACGUAGGUGACCAGCUCAUCGGAGCAGGUGGUCAGGGGAGACUGUAGAGGUGGCCGUGGAGUACGAUGAUGCUGAUAAUGACGAGGAUGAUAUGGAAAAUCAGGGUUGAAGUUUCGUUCGUGGCUGAGGGACAGCUCUGAGAGUGAGGAGGUUAUUCUCUUGUUGAGUGUGAAUGGCGGCAAAGACUACUUUUAUUUGCUGGAAUGUAUUACUCAUAAGUCAUAAGAAGUUUCAAGACAAAAAAAUAAUAAUAAAAAAAUAAAUUGUUUUUUAUUAAUUAUGGGUGCGCAAUCAUAACUGAGGUAUUCCCAGACAUUACAAGCCACAGCACGGGGUACAGAACAGUGCGAUUAUGGAUCUUUUGUUCAACAGAGUGACCUUUCUCAUGCACAGAUCCUUUACAAGAUAUCUGUAGAGCAUACUGAAUCGGUACCGCUAUAGUCUAAAUCCUUAUCUCAUCA